CGGAUACGACACCGCGUGCUACAACUGCAGUCUAACGCUAUUAUAGAGUGGCGCACGGGUGAGUAACGCGUGGGAACCUGCCUUUUUCUGCGGGAUAACGGUUGGAAACGACCGCUAAUACCGCAUACGCCCUACGGGGGAAAGGUCCGCCGGAGAAAGAGGGCCCGCGUCUGAUUAGCUAGUUGGUGGGGUAACGGCCUACCAAGGCGACGAUCAGUAGCUGGUCUGAGAGGAUGAUCAGCCACACUGGGACUGAGACACGGCCCAGACUCCUACGGGAGGCAGCAGUGGGGAAUAUUGGACAAUGGGGGCAACCCUGAUCCAGCAAUGCCGCGUGUGUGAUGAAGGCCUUAGGGUUGUAAAGCACUUUCACUGGUGAAGAUGAUGACGGUAACCAGAGAAGAAGCCCCGGCUAACUUCGUGCCAGCAGCCGCGGUAAUACGAAGGGGGCGAGCGUUGUUCGGAAUUACUGGGCGUAAAGGGCGCGUAGGCGGUCUU
rnacentral:rRNA from 1 species